GGUUUUAUAGUUUAACAAAAACACUAAAUUGCAAAUUUAGGGAUGUCUUUACUAAAACCU
rnacentral:tRNA from 1 species